UUAGAUUUUAUUUAUUAGUUUUUUUGUUUAUUAAUUUAUUGUAUUAAAAAUAAUUAUAAAGCUGAAUUGUUUUAGUAUUUUUUAAAGAAAAAAUAAUAUUAAUUAGAGUUUAUUAGUAUUGUGAAAGAUUAUUGAAAUAUGUUUGAAAAAUUUUUAAUUUAGAAGAAGAUUUUGUUUAUUGUACCUUGUGUAUCAGGGUUUAUUAAAUAUUUAUUAAAGAGGUUAAUUUUCUCGAUUCUGGAAGAGUUAAUGUUUUGUUCAAGUUAAUGUGGUAAAUUUAUUUGGAACAAGAUGUUAGAAAUGAGACGUUAUUCGUUUUUGGAGGUAUCUAGUUUUUUAAGAAAUAAAUUGAAUUUAGGAUUAUUUUAUAACUAAUUUAUUUUGUUAAUUUAGUUGGUAAUUUAAUCUAAUAUCUUAUGGGAUAAGCUAUGAGAUAGAUUAUUAAAAAUUAAGGAUUGUUAUUAGAAAAUGUAAGCUUAGAAUUAGCUAUCAUUAAUAAGGGUGUUAUAAUCUAUUUUUAAAAUUAAAUAUUUAAUUAAAUUUUAAUUUUUUAUUAAAAUAUUUUUAUUAACAUUGAAUAAUAAGUGAUGAUGAUAUAAUUAGUAUAUUGAUUUGUUUAGGUAAAUUGAGAUGGUAAGUUUUUGUAAGGAAUUCGGCAAAGUGAGUAUCCGCCUGUUUAACAAAAACAUGUCCUUUUGAGUGAAUAUGAGGUCUAGCCUGCCCACUGAUAAUUAAAUGGCCGCAGUAUUUUAACUGUGCAAAGGUAGCAUAAUCAUUAGUCUUUUAAUUGAAGGCUGGAAUGAAUGGCUGGACGAGAUAUUAGCUGUUUCAUUUUAAUUUGGAAUAGAAUUUUAUUUUUCAGUAAAAAAGCUGAAAUGAUUUUAAAAGACGAGAAGACCCUAUAAAUCUUUAUAGUUAAGCUGAUAUAAUUUUUUAGAUAUUUUGUGUUAUGUUAGUGAAUACUAUUUUAUUGGGGUGAUAUUAAAAUUUAUAAAACUUUUAGUUUUUGGUUACAUUAAUUAAUGAAAAUUUGAUCCGUUAAUAGCGAUUAGAAAAUUAAGUUACUUUAGGGAUAACAGCGUAAUUUUUUUGGAGAGUUCUUAUCGAUAAAAGGGAUUGCGACCUCGAUGUUGGAUUAAGAGAUGGAUUUAGGUGUAGCAGCUUAGAGUCCAAGUCUGUUCGACUUUUAAAAUCUUACAUGAUCUGAGUUCAAACCGGCGUGAGCCAGGUUGGUUUCUAUCUUUAAUUAGAUAAAAUAUUUUAGUACGAAAGGACCAAAUAUUUGAUAUAUAAAUAUUUUUGUUGGGAAUAUAAUUAAUUA
rnacentral:rRNA from 1 species